rnacentral:rRNA from 1 species
GCGGGACACGUGGUAUCCUGUCUGAAUAUGGGGGGACCAUCCUCCAAGGCUAAAUACUCCUGACUGACCGAUAGUGAACCAGUACCGUGAGGGAAAGGCGAAAAGAACCCCGGCGAGGGGAGUGAAAAAGAACCUGAAACCGUGUACGUACAAGCAGUGGGAGCCUCUUAAUGGGGUGACUGCGUACCUUUUGUAUAAUGGGUCAGCGACUUAUAUUCUGUAGCAAGGUUAACCGAAUAGGGGAGCCGAAGGGAAACCGAGUCUUAACUGGGCGUUAAGUUGCAGGGUAUAGACCCGAAACCCGGUGAUCUAGCCAUGGGCAGGUUGAAGGUUGGGUAACACUAACUGGAGGACCGAACCGACUAAUGUUGAAAAAUUAGCGGAUGACUUGUGGCUGGGGGUGAAAGGCCAAUCAAACCGGGAGAUAGCUGGUUCUCCCCGAAAGCUAUUUAGGUAGCGCCUCGUGAAUUCAUCUCCGGGGGUAGAGCACUGUUUCGGCAAGGGGGUCAUCCCGACUUACCAACCCGAUGCAAACUGCGAAUACCGGAGAAUGUUAUCACGGGAGACACACGGCGGGUGCUAACGUCCGUCGUGAAGAGGGAAACAACCCAGACCGCCAGCUAAGGUCCCAAAGUCAUGGUUAAGUGGGAAACGAUGUGGGAAGGCCCAGACAGCCAGGAUGUUGGCUUAGAAGCAGCCAUCAUUUAAAGAAAGCGUAAUAGCUCACUGGUCGAGUCGGCCUGCGCGGAAGAUGUAACGGGGCUAAACCAUGCACCGAAGCUGCGGCAGCGACACUAUGUGUUGUUGGGUAGGGGAGCGUUCUGUAAGCCUGUGAAGGUGGCCUGUGAGGGUUGCUGGAGGUAUCAGAAGUGCGAAUGCUGACAUAAGUAACGAUAAAGCGGGUGAAAAGCCCGCUCGCCGGAAGACCAAGGGUUCCUGUCCAACGUUAAUCGGGGCAGGGUGAGUCGACCCCUAAGGCGAGGCCGAAAGGCGUAGUCGAUGGGAAACAGGUUAAUAUUCCUGUACUUGGUGUUACUGCGAAGGGGGGACGGAGAAGGCUAUGUUGGCCGGGCGACGGUUGUCCCGGUUUAAGCGUGUAGGCUGGUUUUCCAGGCAAAUCCGGAAAACCAAGGCUGAGGCGUGAUGACGAGGCACUACGGUGCUGAAGCGACAAAUGCCCUGCUUCCAGGAAAAGCCUCUAAGCAUCAGGUAACAUCAAAUCGUACCCCAAACCGACACAGGUGGUCAGGUAGAGAAUACCAAGGCGCUUGAGAGAACUCGGGUGAAGGAACUAGGCAAAAUGGUGCCGUAACUUCGGGAGAAGGCACGCUGAUAUGUAGGUGAAGCGACUUGCUCGUGGAGCUGAAAUCAGUCGAAGAUACCAGCUGGCUGCAACUGUUUAUUAAAAACACAGCACUGUGCAAACACGAAAGUGGACGUAUACGGUGUGACGCCUGCCCGGUGCCGGAAGGUUAAUUGAUGGGGUUAGCGGUAACGCGAAGCUCUUGAUCGAAGCCCCGGUAAACGGCGGCCGUAACUAUAACGGUCCUAAGGUAGCGAAAUUCCUUGUCGGGUAAGUUCCGACCUGCACGAAUGGCGUAAUGAUGGCCAGGCUGUCUCCACCCGAGACUCAGUGAAAUUGAACUCGCUGUGAAGAUGCAGUGUACCCGCGGCAAGACGGAAAGACCCCGUGAACCUUUACUAUAGCUUGACACUGAACAUUGAGCCUUGAUGUGUAGGAUAGGUGGGAGGCUUUGAAGUGUGGACGCCAGUCUGCAUGGAGCCGACCUUGAAAUACCACCCUU